rnacentral:rRNA from 1 species
UUAAUUGAAGAGUUUGAUCAUGGCUCAGAUUGAACGCUGGCGGCAGGCCUAACACAUGCAAGUCGAGCGGCAGCACAGAGGAACUUGUUCCUUGGGUGGCGAGCGGCGGACGGGUGAGUAAUGCCUGGGAAAUUGCCCGGUAGAGGGGGAUAACC